rnacentral:rRNA from 1 species
AGAGUUUGAUCUGGCUCAGGAUGAACGCUGGCGGCGUGCCUAACACAUUCAAGUCGAACGGAUAAGUUCCUUCGGGAGCUUGUCAGUGGCGGACGGGUGAGUAACGCGUGAGCAACCUGCCCCGAGGUGCGGGAUAACACCGGGAAACCGAUGCUAAUACCGCAUGAUGCAACGAAAUCACAUGGUUUUGUUGCCAAAGAUUCAUUGCCUUGGGAUGGGCUCGCGUCUGAUUAGACAGUUGGUGAGGUAACGGCUCACCAAAUCAACGAUCAGUAGCCGGACUGAGAGGUUGACCGGCCACAUUGGAACUGAGAAACGGUCCAGACUCCUACGGGAGGCAGCAGUGGGGAAUAUUGGGCAAUGGGCGAAAGCCUGACCCAGCGACGCCGCGUGAGGGAUGAAGGUCUUCGGAUUGUAAACUUCUGUCGUCAGGGAAGAAGAAUGACGGUACCUGAUGAGAAAGCCACGGCUAACUACGUGCCAGCAGCCGCGGUAAUACGUAGGUGGCAAGCGUUAUCCGGAUUUACUGGGUGUAAAGGGUGUGUAGGCGGGACUGCAAGUCAGAUGUGAAACUUAUGAGCUCAACUCAUAACCUGCAUUUGAAACUGUGGUUCUUGAGAGUCGGAGAGGUAAACGGAAUUCCUGGUGUAGCGGUGAAAUGCGUAGAUAUCAGGAGGAACACCGGUGGCGAAGGCGGUUUACUGGACGACAACUGACGCUGAGACACGAAGGCGUGGGGAGCAAACAGGAUUAGAUACCCUGGUAGUCCACGCGGUAAACGAUGAAUAUUGGGUGUAGGGCUCGUCGGGGUUCUGUGCCGCAGUUAACACAAAUAAACAUUCCGCCUGGGGAGUACGGGCCGCAAGGUUGAAACUCAAAGGAAUUGACGGGAGCCCGCACAAGCAGUGGAGUAUGUGGUUUAAUUCGACGCAACGCGAAGAAACCUUACCGGAGCUUGACAUCCUGAGAAGACUGGUGUAAUGCCGGUUGUGCCCCUUCGGGGGAAUUCAGAGACAGGUGGUGUAUGGUUGUCGUCAGCUCGUGUCGUGAGAUGUUGGGUUAAGUCCCGCAACGAGCGCAACCCUUACGGUUAAUUGCUACGCAAGAGCACUUUAGCCGGACUGCCGUUGAUAAAACGGAGGAAGGUGGGGAUGACGUCAAAUCAUCAUGCCCCUUACGCCCCGGGCUACACACGUACUACAAUGGCGUAAACAAAGGGAAGCGAAGCCGCGAGGCAGAGCAAACCCCGGAAAAUACGUCCCAGUUCGGACUGCAGGCUGCAACUCGCCUGCACGAAGUUGGAAUUGCUAGUAAUCGCGGAUCAGCAUGCCGCGGUGAAUACGUUCCCGGGCUUUG